rnacentral:rRNA from 1 species
AAAACCGACACAGGUGGUCAGGUAGAGAAUACUCAGGCGCUUGAGAGAACUCGGGUGAAGGAACUAGGCAAAAUAGCACCGUAACUUCGGGAGAAGGUGCGCUUACAGUAAUUGUAGUCCCUUGCGGAUGAAGGUGAAGUAAGUCGAAGAUACCAGCUGGCUGCAACUGUUUAUUAAAAACACAGCACUCUGCAAACACGAAAGUGGACGUAUAGGGUGUGAUGCCUGCCCGGUGCUGGAAGGUUAAUUGAUGGUGUUAUCGAAAGAGAAGCUCCUGAUCGAAGCCCCAGUAAACGGCGGCCGUAACUAUAACGGUCCUAAGGUAGCGAAAUUCCUUGUCGGGUAAGUUCCGACCUGCACGAAUGGCAUAAUGAUGGCCAGGCUGUCUCCACCCGAGACUCAGUGAAAUUGAAAUCGCCGUGAAGAUGCGGUGUACCCGCGGCUAGACGGAAAGACCCCGUGAACCUUUACUAUAGCUUGACACUGAACAUUGAAUUUUGAUGUGUAGGAUAGGUGGGAGCCUUUGAAGCAGUGACGCCAGUCAUUGUGGAGGCGACCUUGAAAUACCACCCUUUAACGUUUGAUGUUCUAACGAAGUGCCUGAAACGGGUACUCGGACAGUGUCUGGUGGGUAGUUUGACUGGGGCGGUCUCCUCCCAAAGCGUAACGGAGGAGCACGAAGGUUUGCUAAUGACGGUCGGACAUCGUCAGGUUAGUGCAAUGGUAUAAGCAAGCUUAACUGCGAGACAGACAAGUCGAGCAGGUGCGAAAGCAGGUCAUAGUGAUCCGGUGGUUCUGAAUGGAAGGGCCAUCGCUCAACGGAUAAAAGGUACUCCGGGGAUAACAGGCUGAUACCGCCCAAGAGUUCAUAUCGACGGCGGUGUUUGGCACCUCGAUGUCGGCUCAUCACAUCCUGGGGCUGAAGUAGGUCCCAAGGGUAUGGCUGUUCGCCAUUUAAAGUGGUACGCGAGCUGGGUUUAGAACGUCGUGAGACAGUUCGGUCCCUAUCUGCCGUGGGCGUUGGAUGAUUGAUUGGGGCUGCUCCUAGUACGAGAGGACCGGAGUGGACGCAUCACUGGUGUUCCAGUUGUCUCGCCAGAGGCAUUGCUGGGUAGCUAAAUGCGGAAGAGAUAAGUGCUGAAAGCAUCUAAGCACGAAACUUGCCAAGAGAUGAGUCAUCCCUGACUUUAAGUCAGUAAGGGUUGUUGUAGACUACGACGUAGAUAGGUUGGGUGUGUAAGUGUAGUGAUACAUUGAGCUAACCAAUACUAAUUGCCCGAGAGGCUUAACUAU